rnacentral:snRNA from 1 species
AUCGCUUCUCGGCCUUUUGGCUAAGAUCAAGUGUAAAAUAUUAAAACAUGUAAAUAAAAUUUUAGAAAUAAAUAUAUGUAUUUUUUUAAAAAAUCACUGUAGGUAGUAGGUGUGGUGGCUCAUGUCUUUAAUCUCUUGGGAUCUGCAUGCUCUUG